GAUGAACGCUAGCGAUAGGCUUAACACAUGCAAGUCGAGGGGCAGCACAAGGUAGCUUGCUAUCUGGGUGGCGACCGGCGCACGGGUGCGUAACGCGUAUGCAACUUGCCCUAUACAGGAGGAUAACCCGUCGAAAGACGGACUAAUACUGCGUAUGCUCACAACUUGGCAUCAAGUGGUGAGGAAAGAAAUUCGGUAUAGGAUAGGCAUGCGUCCCAUUAGCUUGUUGGUGAGGUAACGGCUCACCAAGGCAACGAUGGGUAGGGGAACUGAGAGGUUUAUCCCCCACACUGGUACUGAGACACGGACCAGACUCCUACGGGAGGCAGCAGUGAGGAAUAUUGGUCAAUGGGCGCGAGCCUGAACCAGCCAAGUCGCGUGAAGGAUGACUGUCUUAUGGAUUGCAAACUUCUUUUAUACGGGAAUAACAAGAGUCACGGGUGACUACCUGCAUGUACCGUAUGAAUAAGCAUCGGCUAACUCCGUG
rnacentral:rRNA from 1 species